rnacentral:rRNA from 1 species
GACGAACGCUGGCGGCGUGCUUAACACAUGCAAGUCGAACGGAAAGGCCCUGCUUGCAGGGUACUCGAGUGUCGAACGGGUGAGUAACACGUGGGUGAUCUGCCCUGCACUUCGGGGUAAGCCUUGGAAACUGGGUCUAAUACCGCGUAUGAGCCAUUUUUAGUGUUGUGGUUGGAAAGUUUUUUCGGUGUAGGAUGAGCUCGCGGCCUAUCAGCUUGUUGGUGGGGUAAUGGCCUACCAAGGCGGCGACGGGUAGCCGGCCUGGGAGGGUGGACGGCCACAUUGGGAAUGAGAUACGGCCCAGACUCCUACGGGAGGCAGCAGUGGGGAAUAUUGCACAAUGGGCGCAAGCCUGAUGCAGCGACGCCGCGUGGGGGAUGACGGCCUUCGGGUUGUAAACUCCUUUCGCUAGGGACGAAGCUUUUUGUGACGGUACCUAGAUAAGAAGCACCGGCUAACUACGUG